rnacentral:rRNA from 1 species
CGCAGCCGCGGUAAUUCCAGCUCCAAUAGCGUAUAUUAAAGUUGUUGCAGUUAAAAGCUCGUAGUUGAAUUUCGGGAUCAAUGCGUCGGUCGUGCUUUCGGGUACGUACUGGUGUCAUUGGUUUCUCCUUUCUGACGAGCCGUGAUGUCAUUAAUUUGGUGUUACGGGUAGUUAGGACUGUUACUUUGAAAAAAUUAGAGUGUUUAAAGCAAGCUAACGCUUGAAUACAUUAGCAUGGAAUAAUGAAAUAGGACGUUCGAUCCUAUUUUGUUGGUUUCUAGGAUUGACGUAAUGAUUAAUAGGGAUAGUUGGGGGCAUUAGUAUUCAAUUGUCAGAGGUGAAAUUCUUGGAUUUAUUGAAGACUAACUACUGCGAAAGCAUUUGCCAAGGAUGUUUUCAUUAAUCAAGAACGAAAGUUAGGGGAUCGAAGACGAUCAGAUACCGUCGUAGUCUUAACCAUAAACUAUGCCGACUAGGGAUCGGAUGAUGUUAAUUUUUUAAUGACUCAUUCGGCGCCUUA